rnacentral:rRNA from 1 species
UACGGAGGGUGCAAGCGUUGUUCGAAAUUAUUGGGCGUAAAGCGCGUGUAGGCGGACAGUUAAGUCCGGUGUGAAAUCCCUCGGCUCAACUGAGGACGUGCACUAGAUACUGGCGGUCUUGAGUCCUGGAGAGGGUAGCGGAAUUCCCAGUGUAGAGGUGAAAUUCGUAGAUAUUGGGAGGAACACCGGUGGCGAAGGCGGCUACCCGGACAGUGACUGACGCUGAGACGCGAAAGCAUGGGUAGCAAACAGG